GUUCUUAUGGAUCUCGUAAUUGGAAUGAGUACAAUUUAAAUCUCUUAACGAGGAACAAUUGGAGGGCAAGUCUGGUGCCAGCAGCCGCGGUAAUUCCAGCUCCAAUAGCGUAUAUUAAAGUUGUUGCAGUUAAAAAGCUCGUAGUUGAAUUUCGGGAUCAAUUUAUCGGUCGUGCCAAUGGUAUGAACUGGUACAAUUGGUUUCUCCCUUCUGACGAAGCAUGAUGUCAUUAAUUUGGUGUCGUGGGGAAUCAGGACUGUUACUUUGAAAAAAUUAGAGUGUUUAAAGCAAGCAUUAGCUUGAAUACAUUAGCAUGGAAUAAUGAAAUAGGACGUUUGAUCCUAUUUCGUUGGUUUCUAGGAUCGACGUAAUGAUUAAUAGGGAUAGUUGGGGGCAUUAGUAUUCAAUUGUCAGAGGUGAAAUUCUUGGAUUUAUUGAAGACUAACUACUGCGAAAGCAUUUGCCAAGGGUGUUUUCAUUAAUCAAGAACGAAAGUUAGGGGAUCGAAGACGAUCAGAUACCGUCGUAGUCUUAACCAUAAACUAUGCCGACUAGGGAUCGGAUGAUGUUAAUUUUUUAAUGACUCAUUCGGCGCCUUACGGGAAACCAAAGUGUUUGGGUUCCGGGGGGAGUAUGGUCGCAAGGCUGAAACUUAAAGGAAUUGACGGAAGGGCACCACCAGGGGUGGAGCCUGCGGCUUAAUUUGACCCAACACGGGGAAACUCACCAGGUCCAGACAUAGUAAGGAUUGACAGAUUGAGAGCUCUUUCUUGAUUCUAUGGGUGGUGGUGCAUGGCCGUUCUCAGUUGGUGGAGUGAUUUGUCUGGUUAAUUCCGAUAACGAACGAGACCUUAACCUGCUAAAUAGCUAGGCUUAGCAUUGCUAGGUCGUCAGCUUCUUAGAGGGACUAUCGGUGUUUAACCGAUGGAAGUUUGAGGCAAUAACAGGUCUGUGAUGCCCUUAGAUGUUCUGGGCCGCACGCGCGCUACACUGAUGAAGUCAACGAGUUCACUCCCUUUGUCGGAAGACAUGGGUAAUCUUUUGAAACUUCAUCGUGCUGGGGAUAGAGCAUUGCAAUUAUUGCUCUUAAACGAGGAAUCCCUAGUAAGUACAAGUCAUCAGCUUGUGCUGAUUACGUCCCUGCCCUUUGUACACACCGCCCGUCGCUACUACCGAUUGAAUGGCUUAGUGAGGACUUCGGAUUGAGCUUCGGAAGCUGUAAAAGGCAUCCGAUUUUUAAAAAGUUGUUCAAACUUGGUCAUUUAGAGGAAGUAAAAGUC
rnacentral:rRNA from 1 species